rnacentral:rRNA from 1 species
CCUACGGGAGGCUGCAGUGGGGAAUAUUGGACAAUGGGGGGAACCCUGAUCCAGCCAUGCCGCGUGUGUGAAGAAGGCCCUCGGGUUGUAAAGCACUUUCAGUGAGGAAGAACGCCUGGUGGUUAAUACCCAUCAGGAAAGACAUCACUCACAGAAGAAGCACCGGCUAACUCCGUGCCAGCAGCCGCGGUAAUACGGAGGGUGCGAGCGUUAAUCGGAAUUACUGGGCGUAAAGCGCGCGUAGGUGGCUUGAUAAGCCGGUUGUGAAAGCCCCGGGCUCAACCUGGGAACGGCAUCCGGAACUGUCAAGCUAGAGUGCAGGAGAGGAAGGUAGAAUUCCCGGUGUAGCGGUGAAAUGCGUAGAGAUCGGGAGGAAUACCAGUGGCGAAGGCGGCCUUCUGGACUGACACUGACACUGAGGUGCGAAAGCGUGGGUAGCAAACAGGAUUAGAUACUCCAGUAGUC